AACGAACGCUGGUGGCAGGCUUAACACAUGCAAGUCGAACGGUUGUAGCAAUACAGCAGUGGCAGACGGGUGAGUAACACGUGGGAACCUUCCUAGGGGUACGGAACAACUCAGAGAAACUUGAGCUAAUACCGUAUACGUCCGUGAGGAGAAAGAUUUAUCGCCCUUAGACGGGCCCGCGUCGGAUUAGCUAGUUGGUGGGGUAACGGCCUACCAAGGCGACGAUCCGUAGCUGAUCUUAGAGGAUGAUCAGCCACACUGGGACUGAGACACGGCCCAGACUCCUACGGGAGGCAGCAGUGGGGAAUCUUGGACAGUGGGCGCAAGCCUGAUCCAGCCAUGCCGCGUGAGUGAAGAAGGUCUUCGGAUUGUAAAGCUCUUUUGCCAGGGACGAUAAUGACGGUACCUGGAGAAUAAGCCCCGGCAAACUUCGUGCCAGCCGCCGCGGUAA
rnacentral:rRNA from 1 species